AGUGAACGCUGGCGGUAGGCCUAACACAUGCAAGUCGAACGGCAGCACAGUAAGAGCUUGCUCUUACGGGUGGCGAGUGGCGGACGGGUGAGGAAUACAUCGGAAUCUACUUUUUCGUGGGGGAUAACGUAGGGAAACUUACGCUAAUACCGCAUACGACCUACGGGUGAAAGCAGGGGAUCUUCUGACCUUGCGCGAUUGAAUGAGCCGAUGUCGGAUUAGCUAGUUGGCGGGGUAAAGGCCCACCAAGGCGACGAUCCGUAGCUGGUCUGAGAGGAUGAUAAGCCACACUGGAGCUGAGACACGGUCCAGACUCCUACGGGAGGCAGCAGUGGGGAAUGUUGGACAAUGGGCGCAAGCCUGAUCCAGCCGUACCGCGUGGGUGAAGAAGGCCUUCGGGUUGUAAAGACCUUUUGUUGGGAAAGAAAAGCAGCAGGUUAAUACCCAGCUGUUCUGACGGUACCCAAAGAAUAAGCACCGGCUAACUUCGUG
rnacentral:rRNA from 1 species